AUGCUAAUCUUUGAUUUUAGAUAUGGUUGGAUCAGCAACGGAAAUACCACUAUCCUCAGACAGAAGGCCCAUGUUAACUGUGCCAAGAACAUGACAGGAGUCUUCUUCCACCAUGACACUCCGGACCAACCCUUUGAUGCCUUCUGUUUCAAUGCAUCAGAUUUGUCUAUGAAGAACUGUGAUUUGGCCAUCAAUCCUGAUUCAACAGGACCAGAGAGUGUUCAGGUGACCGAUGGAUACCUUUCUUCUGAUGCUGCAGGUGAAGCCACAGAGCAGCCUAAGACAGAGGAGGUCCCAGAGGAGAAGACAGACAUCCAGACAUAUGCCCCAGCAGUGGUGGAGGACCAGGAUGAGGUACAGCCAGAGGCCACAGAGGUAACCCCAGAGGACAGGGCCCAGCCUGAGGACAGAGCAAGCACAGAGCCUGACACAGUGGAUACCACCUCUGCACCUGAGAAACAGGGAGCCGAGAGCACCACUGAGGUAGUUGAGGAAGUGGACCCGACCCAACCUGCAUCCACUGAGGCUAGCCCAGAGGAACCAACAUCUGGGGCUGGGGGUGAGGGCUCAGAGGGGGCAGCCACAGAGAGCCCUGGUGGGGAGGAAGAGCAGACUGAGGGGGAUGAGACCCAGUCAGCCGGCCGCACUGGGGUGCUGGCCACUGAGAUGGAGGACACCACCGGGUCUGGGAUGCAACCGACUGGCGCUGAGGAGGGGGCCUCUUCUAUUGCACCACCUGUUGGACAGCCAGGAGAACCACAGGGCUCAGCCAGCGAGGAGGAUGUGCAGGAGAUAGUGCUAGAGCAGGAGGAGGAGGAGGGGGUAGAGGGUAAGCAAUUACUCUGUUUGUUACAUUCAUAAUAUCACAUACAGAGUACUGUUUUUUGCUUUGCUUUGUCACUAAGUUUGGUAUCAUGAACAUAAUUAUAAUGACAAUGUAUUUAAUUUAAAUAGCACACUUUAAAAUACAAAUACAUCUCAAGUAAAUCAUAUAUCAUGUCAGAACAGAGAAACAUAAGAGGUACAAAACAAGUGCCUGGCAUUACCCUGCAACAGUCAUACUUUUCAUAGAUGAUUUCUGUGACAGGAUGAAUGAAAAGCUUUCCCUGAGCCUAAAAAUAGCAGUUGUGAUACUCAAGGGCAGGAUGUCCCCCUGUACAUUUUGGUCCUAAUGCAGAUGCCAAUCAUUCUGCUGCUGCUGCAAAAUGUUGAACCAGCAACCUUUUCCAGUGAGUGUGGUAUGUAUAAACGUUUGCAUGAGGUGUUCCUCUUUAGACCCCUGGUUACACCCCAGAGAGAGGAAAUUGGUGGAAUGUGGUUAGGAAGCCUAAACUAAAGAUACAUUCUGUGUUUAUCUCAAAGAUGUAUUUAGCUACGUUUUUGUAAACAAAAGUAUAAGCACCACCAAAACAACUUGACACAUCUCCAUGAUGAAACGUUUGAUACUAUGACCUUCAUCUAUAAUGACAGAAAAGGUUUUAAAAGUUUUACAAAAUGUUUAAAGAUGUAUCAACUGAUGUGUACAUCUUCAGUCGUAUCAUUAAUCAAAGCCAUUUAAUAACUGGCUGAGUCUAGCCAGAAUCACGACAACACAUAUCUAUAUAACAUCACUGCCCUCUGGCUAUACUGUACAACUGUUUCCAAGGCGACUCAAAAAUCUGUGCUUUCAAGGUGAUUAAUUUAAUCAUAUCAAUCUCUAAAUAUACAUCUCCGUGCUCGUCGUUCUCCUCAACACUUUUGUCAAGACACAUUAUUAUGCAAUCUCUAAUACAGUCUUCUCUGACUGUAAUAACUAGCACCAUCUUUACCUGUUUUUAUCUUUACAUAAAUAGUAAGUAUCCUUUACAUUUUCUUGAAAGUGCUUAGUCAGAACUCAGAGAAGGAUACUUAGAACAGAUAGCCUACCACCCACACACAGCAAAGUUUGGUCUGACUCUGGGAAGUUAAAGAACUAACUUCGCCCCCUGGUGUUGGGGUGUGAAAAAGAUUGUGGAUUAAACCUCCAAUUUCCACUCUUGUUUGGAUUGUAAUAUCUGUGUGCAUUUAGAGUUAUAUAAGAAGACAUGUGGCACUAGGUAUAAAAGCUAUAUCCAACUUUAUAUUAAAAUAUUCAAGUGCAAGGAAUCAUUUGCAUAGUCAGCUCUAUGGUAAAGUGUCACGCCCUGACCAUAGAGAGCCCUUGUUUCUCUAUGGUGUCGUAGAUCAGGGCGUGACUAGAGGGUAUUCUAGUUGAUCAAUUCUAUGUUGUGUUCUAGUUUAUAUUUUCUAUGUUGGUGUUUUGUAUGAUUCCCAAUUAGAGGCAGCUGGUAAUCAUUGUCUCUAAUUGGGGAUUAUAUUUAAGUAGCUAUUUUUUCCCACCUGUGUUUGUGGGAUAUUGUUUUAUGUUUGUGCAUGUGCACCACAUAGUCGCGUUUAGUUUCUCUUUGAAUUAAAUAUGUGGAACUUAACAUCCGCUGCACUUUGGUCCCGUUCUUACGACAGCCGUGACAUAAAGUUGUAGUUUGAUGAAACUUUCAAAUAAAAUAAGCACUCAGAUUGACCACCAUUCAUGAAGAAAUAUUCCAUGGAGGCUUGAAAGUUUUUCUUUCUCUGUGUGUCCUCUCCUCUGUGGAGUUUGUUUGAAGAAGGCUCCCCCUCUUGUGACCGGAUGAGGGAGAGUGUGAAAGAGAGGAGAGAAAGAGAGGAGCACUAGUACACCACUGACUGUGCCUCAGCAUGAUUCUUCCUCUCAACUCCCCAUCUGUCCUGACUCAAAUUCUCAAUACAAGAACUCUAUAUAAACAAUCUCUGCAUCCAAUGAUUUAAUGUAAUACACAGACCCUUUCAACACAGUAGCUAAUAUUUGGGUCCAAUUCUCCUAUAGUGUAUUCAUAUGGGGCAUCAACUUGUAUUUUGAUGCACUGAAUCAUUCAGUCAAAUCUAUCUUAAUAAUGGUGUGUUUGUGCACUACUGUGCACCACUGAGAUUCACGUUAGUCUUGAAUAGUGAAUAGUGUAAGCAAGAGGUCCCCCAAGUUGUGUUAUAAUAUAACAACUGCUGGCCCACAGCCUUUUAUUAUUCAUUACAUUAUAAUUGGAUUCUUAGUCAUUAGAUGUAUUUCUGUAUUUAGAUUAUUUAAUGCAGGGGUGUCAAACUCAUUCCACGGAGGGCAGAGUGUCUGCGGGUUUUUGUUUUUUUCUUUCAGUUAAGACCUACUAUAAACAACCAGGUGAGGGGAGUUCCUUACUAAUUAGCUACCAUAAUUCAUCAAUCAAAUACAAGGGUGAGCGAAAACCUGUAGACGCCCGUAUCCUCCUUGGAAUGAGUUUGACACCUGUGAUCCAAUGAGACAGUUUAGAAGUAGAGGGGGAGGCAAGGAGGGAUAGGACAGGAGACACAGUAGUAAGUGUGGACGUAGGGAUAGGACAGGAGACACAGUAGGAAGUGUGGACGUAGGGAUACGACAGGAGACACAGUAGGAAGUGUGGACGUAGGGAUAGGACAGGAGACACAGUAGGAAGUGUGGAAGUAGGGAUAGGACAGGAGACACAGUAGGAAGUGUAGACGUAGGGAUAGGACAGGAGACACAGUAGGAAGUGUGGGACUAGGGAUAGGACAGGAGACACAGUAGGAAGUGUGGACGUAGGGAUAGGACAGGAGACACAGUAGGAAGUGUGGAAGUAGGGAUAGGACAUUAGACACAGUAGGACGUGUGGACGUAGGGAUACGACAGGAGACACAGUAGGAAGUGUAGACAUAGGGAUAGGACAGGAGACACAGUAGAAAGUGUGGACGUAGGGAUAGAUCUGGUAGAGGAUGUAUUGCUAUGGGGGGAAUGACACCCCAAAAUGGGCACUACUUUCCACCAGGCCUGUGUGAGAAAUAGGGAGGCAUUGAUUUACCCUAUGAGAUACUAAUCAGAUAAACUGUUCUGUUCUGUGCUAAGGUUAUGAGGAGUUUACCAUAUUGUUCUCAUUAUAACACUUGGCACAAUGUCACUUUAAUAACAGCAAUAACUCAUCAAUUACUUUGCAAUGAAAUGUUGGCCUUCGCUCUCAGGUGCCAACUCUGCCCCAACGAGAGUUCCACAUUCCUUAGUAGGUUCAGUUCAUUCCACAGCUAUAACAUCAGCCCUGUUGUAGCACAUGAUUCCUGGUCAUCACAUGAUAGUGUUAUACAUCAUCACAUGACAUUGCACAAAAUCACAGUCUGUCAGUGCUCAUACCCAGGCAGUCUGUCUGAUUGACAAGAUGAACACAGGUCUUCAUCACACUUUAGUGUGAUAACCAAGCACUAUUAUUUGGGGUCUACUGCACUCUCUCAAGGGGCUCUGUGUGUGUUACCUGGGUGGACGUGUAUGGCAUCUGAUGACACCAGUUGACAUCCAUGUGUAAUUCAUUUGUGAGGCAUGAGAGAUGUUUGUUUAACACUGUAUCUCAUUGUUCUCCCCAUCUAUUCCCAGAUCAGCCCAUUCCUAGGGGGAGGAUGAAUCCAGGUGAGGGAGUAGCCCCCCCUCCAGCCGGGAAGGAGAAUAGUAGCACACCCGGUGAGUGGCCCACUACCCCUAAUAUCUCUACCAGUAGUAUUAAUACUAUUAUUGUACAUGUCAUGAGUGAUUAGUUGAAUCAUGGCCAUGUAAUUACAAUGUAUUAUAUGGUUUAAUGCAGCGAUUCUCAAUUGGUGGGUCGUAAACCAAAUUUGGGUCGCGGGAGGUUUUGUGUGGGUCGCGGGUGUCUGAGUUUUUUUUAAUGAAAAGAAAACCCAGUCUGCACUUGACAUGACUUAAACCAGGUAGAAUGUGUGUAGAAAUGAUAAAGAACUUACAUGUUUAAACAAUUUAUCUUCAAUCACAGUAUUUUCAGUACAGAGCUAUUAGCAGCGCUAUGGUUGAUUGUGUGGUCUUAAACCAGUGAGUUUAUUAACAGUCAACAUCAAGAAUAUGGGCAAAAUGUAAUUAUUGACAAUGAAAGAGGUGGGAAUGUUGUUUCCUUGUCAUACAGUUGGUACAUUUAAUAUCAAUAUAGCAUUACAAAUAAUUUUCCAGAUUGUAUUUUGCCGAUUCUUUUUAGCAAUGCGAAUAUUGUGUCAUGACUGAGACCACCUGGUUUAAUUUGGGUCCCUAGGCAAAACCAGUUGAGAACCACUGGUUUAAUGGAUUCAUAAUGUAUUAAUAAUUGUGCAAACAAUUUAAUUUAUACAGCACUUUUCAAAGCACUUUGCAUUGUAAAGGGGCAUAUGCUACACCUCCAAGUGAGAGACAUUAUAGACAUGAAUUAUUCAUGUUAUUCAACCUUUCUCAUUUCUUUCCUUUGUGCAGAUUGGCUGAUCAUUGUGGGAGUGGUUGCGGCAGUGGGCGCUAUUCUCCUCGUGUGUGCUGCUGUGGCAAAGCGGAAGAGGUAGGUCUCAUUUCACCAAUUGGAAUUCUGAUCAAUAAUUAACUGUGUGCAUUACUCCCUCUCUCUGUCUUUUAGGUGAUGACAGUAUCCUAAUGUGUUCGCUGCUUCCUUUCUCUGUCUGUUAGCUGAUGACAGUAUCCUAAUGUGUUCGCUGAUGUCCUUUCUCUGUCUGUAGCUGAUGACAGUACCUAAUGUGUCACUGCUUCCUUUCACUGUCUUUUAGCUGAUGACAGUAUCCUAAUGUGUUCACUGAUCCCUUCUCUGUCUGUUAGUGGUGGACAGUACUCCUAAUGUGUUCACUG
ensembl:lncRNA